UACAGAGGGGGCAAGCGUUGUUCGGAAUUACUGGGCGUAAAGGGCGCGUAGGCGGCCCGCUAAGUCGAACGUGAAAUCCCCGAGCUCAACUCGGGAACUGCGUCCGAUACUGGCGGGCUUGAAUCCGGGAGAGGGAUGCGGAAUUCCUGGUGUAGCGGUGAAAUGCGUAGAUAUCAGGAGGAACACCGGUGGCGAAGGCGGCCCUCUGGACGGUGACUGACGCUGAGACGCGAAAGCGUGGGGAGCAAACAGG
rnacentral:rRNA from 1 species